AGAUGAAAGCGUAGACUGGGGUCCGAACAAGGUGUUCUUCUUUUAACUGGCCCAGGCACAUUGUUUUAUUGAAGGUCUCCUCGGAGGAAAAGACUAGGCGCCGAGAUGUGCUGGCCUUCCUUUAUGGUCCAGACCAGUUGUUUUCAUCAAGGGAGCAUUGAGAUAGCCCUACACCUCGGAAGAAGUACCCAUAAAAGAAUUUUAGAUAUAAUAAAGAGCUAUUACAAUUUCC